rnacentral:rRNA from 1 species
UACGAAGGGUGCAAACGUUGCUCGGAAUCAUUGGGCGUAAAGCGCACGUAGGCGGCCUUGCAAGUCGGAUGUGAAAUCCCACGGCUCAACCGUGGACGUGCAUCCGAAACUGCUCGGCUCGAGUAUGGAAGAGGGUCGCGGAAUUCCCGGUGUAGAGGUGAAAUUCGUAGAUAUCGGGAGGAACACCAGUGGCGAAGGCGGCGACCUGGGCCAAUACUGACGCUGAGGUGCGAAAGCGUGGGGAGCAAACAGG